GGUAAUAUGGCCGAGAUAAGGCAGUGAGCUGUAAAUUCACGCACAGGGCUUACGCCCUUAUUAUCAG
rnacentral:tRNA from 1 species